rnacentral:rRNA from 1 species
CCUACGGGGCGCAGCAGUGGGGAAUAUUGGGCAAUGGGCGCAAGCCUGACCCAGCAACGCCGCGUGAAGGAAGAAGGCUUUCGGGUUGUAAACUUCUUUUAUGAGGGACGAAACAAAUGACGGUACCUCAUGAAUAAGCCACGGCUAACUACGUGCCAGCAGCCGCGGUAAUACGUAGGUGGCAAGCGUUAUCCGGAUUUACUGGGUGUAAAGGGCGUGUAGGCGGGACUGCAAGUCGGAUGUGAAAAUUAUGGGCUCAACCCAUAACCUGCAUUUGAAACUGUAGUUCUUGAGUGAUGGAGAGG